GUCUGUUUGUUUAAGUGCAUCAAGUGGAGUGCAAACGGUAAAAGGUCUUGAGGCAGGUGUGACACGCUCUCUAUUACGGAUUAAAAGUGUAAGUGAGUGUAAAAUAUAUAAAA